CACAUCCGGCGCUGCCCGCACUCCGAAAUCCUCAGGGCAGAAGUUACGACUAGUAAGGGCGGAAGUGGCUUCUGCCCAGCGACGCGGUAGAGCCCUGUGUGGAUGUGACGUCACAACGGAAGCGAAGGCGGGUUCCGUUAAGGGCAGAAGUUGAACCUUCAGAACUGCGGUCCCGGGCUUCCGGAAGGGACUUCUGGGGAAGUGGGAGGGUGGAAACCGACAGGUUUAUGAAUUAUGCAUCAGGUACGAGAGGAGGGUUCAUAAGCAGAACCAGGGGACUCAGGUAUCUUGCAAAGGCUUUAUUUGAAAAUUUUGAAACUUACAUCCCACAAGAAUUCAAGAUUAUCACCACAAGAAGAAAGAGAUAAUACAAAAAUAUAUAUCACAGCAUAGGAGCCAGCAGGCGCCUGGCAAGUUUAGUUCUAGUUCAAAAUCAGCUAAUGACCUGGACACCUGAGUCUAAUGAUUCUCUCAGUAAAGUGUGAAGGACUGAGCGACCCAUUAUUAAAUGCAUGCAAAGAGCUCUGGACUUUCUCCCUUCCCCCCCAGGCAGCCCCAGGAAGGAGCUGUGCAGAACAGCCAAACAUUGCUAAACAUCUGGUCCCCAUCUGCCAGCACCCUCCUCCUUGCAGCUUACCAGAACUUGAAGAUGAUGCCAGUGGCCACGAGAACAAUAAUGAUGGAGAUGGUAAUUGUGACAUAGAGCUGGGGGUCCACACCUGAUUG